UGCAAAACCUCUGACACUCUCAUUUUUAAACCACAUCAACAAAAUCUAUUUAAACCAUUAUAUAUGGAUUUCUUCCAACCUUCGAUUGGAAGGUAAUAUAUAUGCACAUAGAGAGAGAGAGAGAAGUUAAUUAACUCUGAAAGAAAGAAUAUACCUGAUAUAGGUGCAGUUCGCUGGUGCGAGAUGAACACCAACACCAUACAUCGGCUUAGUUUUAGGGAGUUCAUUUAAACCAAGCCCAUGCUCCAUUACUUGGGAUACUGCUUCUUUGGAAGAGGCAAGCCAUGCAUAUCUUAUAUUUGGAUUACCCCGAUACUUUCUUGUAAUUUCAAACUGCUUUUGAAAAAGCUCCAAACGAGCUUGCAAUAAAUUAC